UUCCACCCAUAGCUGUCCUAAACACACCUUGUGGCAACCUGCAAAGGCAUUUAUUUACAUGGGAAAAGCAACACAGGGAUAGUGCCAGUAUGCUCUGUCUUUGGUGCGAAAAGCAAGCCAGUUUUGUCCUUUAAAAAAAUUUGUUUUAUGGUUCUUUUUUUUUUUUUAGCUUUUCUUUCUUUUUCUACUUUUCAUCAUAUGUUUUUCUCCCUGUUUUGCUGCCCACAGCCCUGGAAGUUCGUUUCCACCAGGAGGUGCUGCUGGGUAUUACCCAUAGACUGAGUGGUUGGCUCUGCUCCACAUCACGCAUGAGAGAGACUUAACAAAGAAUGGGCAGAGUGAAAUUCCACCCAAGGCGUUUUCAUUCAGCCGUCCCCAAAUUCCCAUCUCCCGUCUGCCAAGAAGCGCAUCGUUUCCUUGUGCAGACCAGAAUGUGCUUUUUUGUAGUGGGACCAAGACCAGCCCAGAAGGAGCAGGUUGGCUACUGAUGCUCUACUCUCUAAUUAGGCCCACUCCAGCUUUGUGGAGGAGGUGAGAGCCUGCAUAUGCAAAACGUGUACACAACAAACCUGUGUCUGCUGUCCUGCUGUGUUCCAGUCCAGAAAGACCGCAUUCACUGGCACGCCUCAGUGUCCUUUGUGGAGCUCCUAGGAUAUAAAAGCGACUCUCUCUGCCAAGGCAAACAACUGACACAGAGAUGAAGACAGUGUGUCUUUGUGGAUGGAGCAGGCAGCGGAAGAUGAAAGAUGACAGUGAAGGCAAAACCUCACACAAACUAAGAAGGUUUGGCAAUUUUUGACCUUGCAGAAGACCAGCAGCAGGCAGAGGCUGCAUAACACAGUUGCAUCCAGAAGGAAGACCUUCCCAAGCAUAGCACUGCAGAGAGUGGUAACAAAAGAAUGUUGCAGCACACUGUCUUUCGUGAGUGGCACUGAUGUCCAGCUGAUUCCAUCUCAUCAGUGGAAGGAAAAGGUUCAUUUUUUUUCCCCUUCCCUCUACUCUAGAGAUGCACGCUUGUCUCCUACAGCGUGAUCAUGUACUGAAGAACAAAAUCCUCAAAUAUCUGUUUAUUUCUGCCUACAGCAUUUUUAGAGACCUCGCAGAAA